UAGCCUGUAAAAGGGAGCAUUCUGGAACUGACUCUUCUGCUCCAAUAUCCCCUAACGCAAUCAGGUGUCAUGAAAUAAGAGAAGACUAGCUCCAAUUAUGGAAGAGGAUUAGGUCUGCAAGAGACAAGAUAGAUAUAAUGCAAGUUUAAGGAAGCUGACUCAUAUGAAGCAGAAGUGCAGCAAGUUUUGUUUAGAAAGCUGGUGGAUCUGAGACAAGAGAGUCCUCGAACAGAGCAUCAUCAGACAGAGCAACGACAGGCAAGCAGAGAAGGCAUACCCAACCUCCUGCCGUUGCGUUCCUGGCGCUAAGCUUCCAUUCAGAGGUGUGUGAGAAAAGCUGAGAACAAAGCUGGAGGAUGUGAACAAGAGCUAGCAACCAGUGGCAAGAAAGAAAGGAAGACAACUGCAAGACUCAUGUAAAGAGAACGUGGCCAGCAUUCUAGUAAGAGCAGCCUAAGCAAACAGAGGUUUCAUCCUCACAAAAUUAUUUGAGGAUGGGACAAUGCAAAGUCAGUUUUGUUGUUAGAGAGGGAAGUUGGUGCAAUGGAACAUGAAGCCUGCUAUUCUGCAGUAGAAUAAGCACAUGUUAAAAAAAUUAGAAUAAAACCCAAGAUUUUUAUUACAAAAA